rnacentral:lncRNA from 1 species
AAGCACUCCUUUCAUGUCCUUCAUUGAAAAGAUUAUGAAAAUAACCUCUCCAUCUGUCUUUAACCGCAUUCUCUGUAGCAAGAACUUUUCCAUCCUCAUCCUUGAUGCACCUCACUUGGUUUAGGUCCCUUGUCUUCUUUUCCCUUGCUCUAGCUAGUUUAUAGAUAUCCAACUCUCCUUCUUUGGUAUCUAGUCGUUUAUACAUAUCGUCGUAAGCCGCUAACUUAGCUUCUAUCACAGCUUUCUUCGCCUCUUGCUUCGCUUUUCUAUACCUUUCACCAUUUUCAUCAGGUCCUAUCCUUGUAUAAGGCUUUACAACAUUCCUUCUUAGCCUUCACCUUUGUUUGUACCUCCUCAUUCCACCACCAAGAUUCCUUUUGGUGUGGGGCAAAGCCCUUAGACUCUCCUAAUA